rnacentral:rRNA from 1 species
AUUCAAUUUUCUGCCACCGAAUACAUUAGCAUGGGAUAAUGGAAUAGGCACCCUGUCCUCCUAUUUUCAGUUGGUUUUGGCAGCGCGAGGACUAGGGUAAUGAUUAAUAGGGAUAGUUGGGGGCAUUAAUAUUUAAUUGUCAGAGGUGAAAUUCUUGGAUUUAUGAAAGAUUAACUUCUGCGAAAGCAUCUGCCAAGGAUGUUUUCAUUAAUCAAGAACGAAAGUUAGGGGAUCGAAGACGAUCAGAUACCGUCGUAGUCUUAACCAUAAACGAUGCCGACCAGCGAUUAGGAGACGUUGAAUACAAAACACCACCAUCGGCGCGGUCGCCCUUGGCGUUCGUGUUCACGCACGGGCGCGAGGGCGGUUUAGCCCGAUGGCCCGGUGAAUGACUCCCUAGAAGCUUGG